UAGCUUCCAGCAGCAGUACAAAAAAAAAUUGUUCGGAUUCGGUAAACUAGCGGUGCCUUUUUAUGAAAAUGUCCUCCCCAUAAGCAGAAUAACAGAGCAAACAAUGCGUUGUAAAGCGGCGCCAUUAAAACCCGCACAUAAUGGGCGGUGGUGAGCUCAAGCCCGGAUGUUAGAGUGGCUCUGUGACGGGCUGAAGCAGAUGGGAUCCAUGAUGAAUUGGGUAAAAGGCGGAAGACUGCGUAUCAACAGGGCGAAACAGAGAUGCUACACAGCUACAACCGCUAGUCAGCUAACUGUUACAACAUGCAGGAGUCAAAAAUAACUGAUAAAUUUCAACUGCCAGCAUCCUUACAUAGGGAACCCUAACAGGACAGCUCACACCAUCUUCUGUACUCUGCUAAGCUGACCACAACUAAGGAUGGCGAGCAGGAGAAAAUCAACCAUUCCCUGCAUGGUUCCUCCUCAGGAAGCCAUAGACUCAGAUCAGGAGGUGGAGGAUGUUAUGGACAUCACAGACCCUGAGGAUAGCAACGAAGUCGCUGCAGUUCAUUCUGAGGUUCCUGCUCUGUCGGAGGAUCAAGCCGAGGACUCUGAUGUCGGGCAGGAUGUUGGGUCAGACCCGUACUUGGAAUGGAACACGGCUGAAGGGGGAUACGAGUGCAAAUACUGCAGCUUCCAGACUUCAGAGCUGAACCUGUUCACCAUGCAUGUGGACACAGAGCACCCUGAUGUCAUCAUUAAUGCCUCCUACGUGUGUGUGGAGUGUGACUACCACACCAAAAGUUAUGACACACUUCAGGCCCACAAUGCUCGGCUGCACCCAGGCGAGGACAACUUUACGCGGACGAUGGUGAAGCGAAACAACGAGACCAUCUUCCAGCAGACAGUCAAUGAUCUCACCUUCGACGGCAGCUUUGUCAAAGUGGAGGAGGACGAGGCGGAGGAAAUGUCCCGCAAAGCCAUCCCUCUCAGCAAAACUCCCAUCAUGAGAAUCAAAAGCAGGCCGGAGCCUAAAAAGUUUGCUACGGCUCAUAAGCUGGCCAUUGACGACGUCAUAAAAGUAGAGAGCGAUGACGAAUACGACAACAGCCAGGAGCCGCCCACUCUGUCCCCAGCUCCAACUCCUGCUCCGUCCACCCCGCGUCUCAUCCCCGUCUCCACGCCGGUACAGGUCCAGACUAUCCCCCAGAGCAUCAUGGUUAACAGCCCAAACAUGCUGCAGAUUAAAGGGGGCUCUGCAGGAGGAAGCACUGUUCUGCCCCCGGGGACUUUGGCCCAGGUUCUGUCUGCCCUGCAGAACCAGCAGAGUACCCAGACCCAGCUCCUGAUCCCCAUCAGCAGCAUCCCCACCUACAACAGCGCCAUGGACAACAACGUCCUGCUGGUCAGCGCUUACAACAGGUUUCCAUAUCCUUCGGUGUCGGAGAUCAUCGGCUUGUCGGCACAGACAAAGUUCAGUGAGGAGCAGAUCAAAGUCUGGUUUUCUGCCCAAAGGCUCAAACAUGGAGUCAGCUGGACACCAGAAGAGGUGGAGGAGGCAAGGAGAAAGAAAUUUAACGGCACGGUUCAGACCGUUCCCCAGACCAUCACCGUCAUCCCCGCCAACAUCAGCGCAGCUACAAACGGACUGCAGUCCAUCUUUCAGACCUGUCAGAUUGUUGGACAGCCAGGUCUUGUCCUCACUCAGGUGGCCGGCAGCGGGAGCACCGUCCCCGUAGCGUCUCCCAUCACUUUGACUGUCGCUGGGGUGCCUGGAAACCAGCCCAAAGCAGCCGAAGGUUCAGCCCCUGAAUCCAACGCAGAGGUUUCAGCUUCGUCUGCUAGCACGUCACUCAGCUUGGAUGCAACAGCUACCAAACCGAAGAAGUCCAAAGAACAGCUGGCAGAGCUGAAAGCCAGCUACAGCAGGAGGCAGUUUGCCACGGAGGAGGAGAUUUCAAGGCUCAUGGAGGUCACCAAACUCUCCAAAAGGGCAAUAAAGAAGUGGUUCAGCGACACACGUUACAACCAGAGGAACUCAAGGGAUCACCACAGCUUGCUGCUGAGUGAAACUUCAUCCAGCAGAGCAGCAUUCUCAGGAUCAGGCAGAGCAGGGAGGAGCAGCAGCACCACCUUUACUGAAAACAUCAGCAGCGAAACACUGUCAGACUUCACCACCGCCGCAAUCAAUGCACCCACAACCACUCCCACCACCAUUGUUAUAGACUCUAGUGAUGAUGCCAGUGACUCUUCGCCCACCACUGCCAACGCUCCCUGUUCUUCCGGGUCAACCGGCGAAUCGCGCGUCAAAUUCCGCCACGCCUUUCCUGACUUUACGCCGCAGAGGUUCAAGGAAAAAACUUCAGAGCAGCUGCACAUCCUGGAGGCCAGCUUCCAGAAAUCAGACAUGCCUUCAGACGAGGAGCUGAGCCGGCUACGUGCGGAAACCAAGCUGACGAGACGGGAGGUGGACGCCUGGUUCACGGAACGACGGAAAACGCCUUUAGCGGCGCUGUUAAAAGACAGUGAUACUGAGAUUGAGGAAAAGGUGAAAUCCACGACGCCUGCAGGAUCUCAGGAGACACAGACCACCGGCCAUGUUGGGAGAAAAAUUCUGAAGAAGACCCCAGCGCAGCUUCACAUUUUGAAGAAAGCCUUUGUUCACUCACAGUGGCCAACUUCUGAAGAGUACGAUCAGAUGGCGACGAAGACUGGCCUGCCGCGGACCUACAUUGUCAACUGGUUUGGAGACACGCGCUACGCCUGCAAAAACAGCAACUUGAAGUGGUACUACCUGUACCAGAGUGGGAAGGUGGACGAGGCAUUGAAUGGUGCAGGAAAAGGCCAGAAAAAGUCUAGGAAGCGGUUUCGUGGUUGGUCCAGGAGGACACGCCGGCCAUACCCCUGCAAGCGUUCUCCACAAGGUGGUGUAGGAGUCAUCAAGGUGAAGUCUGGAAAGACGUUUCUUAAGGAUUACUACCUCAAGCACAGAGCUCUGAAUGAAAGAGACCUGGACGAUCUGGUGACAAAGUCCAAAAUGAGCUACGAGCAGGUAAGAGACUGGUUCUCUGAGGCCACCAGGAAGGUGGAGGAGGGAAAGGAGCCAUUCAGCGACGAGGAGGCCGAGGAGGACGGCGAGGAGGAGGCAGAAGAGGACGAGGCAGCGACAGCUGAGUGUAGAGACAGUGAAGGAGAAAUGGAGGCAAAAGAACAAGGAGAGGUGGCAUCAAAUGAUGAGUGCAUAAAGGAAGAAAAUGAGGAGGAUGCCAAUCAGGAAGAAGAAGAGGAGGAGGAUGAUGAUACUGUUGAGGAGGAAUCUGAAGGUGUCAGCCAUUCACAGCCUCAGACUGAGGAGCAGACAUGAGCCAGCAGAUUCAGCAUUGCUGCCCCCACUUUGGAGCCAACACACAAGAUGACGCAUAAUAGUGUUUCUCAGCUGGCGAGUAAGGACCCGCAGACGGCCACAGAAAGCUCAGACAGAUCAUGCCACAUCAAACAAUGCAACAUGAUUGAGCUGAUUACGCAGCCAAGAGCGAGCGAGCAAGGGGGAGACACAGAGUGCGAGAGCAGGAGAGAGGGAGGAGGAAGGCCAAGGCUGUCUGGUGCCGGGUGGGUCAUCCAGAGGACAUCUCUCCUCGCUUCACCUCAUCCGUGCACGCUCACCCUCCACGCCUAACUCUUCCUAUAUAACCCCCUCCCUCUGCCAUCCUCCACACAUCUGCAGUUCAUGCCCCCGGUCCCUGCCGGCUCGCUGCAUCGCCCUACAUAUCCAAACGCCUGGGUCACUGUAUGACUAUAUGAGUGGCUGCAAGCAAAGCCGUCUGCAGCACGAACGCACGGAUUCAACCAUUCCGAGUCUGGCAGUUUAGUCAUCCGCUCAUUCAUUUAUGCACGUUUUCAUUUCAGUCAUGAAGAAAGAAAAAAAGAGGAAGAUAAAUUCAGGCUAUGGUUCUGUCACAGCUAGACCAUUCUGAUCCACAGAAGUAUACAGUUUCAUCAUGUUAAGGAGUGAAGUUCUAAAAUUUAGCUGUUAUUUUAAUGUAAAUGCAAAAAAAGAAAUUCAAUGCAAUACAUUUCUUUCUUAAAUGUUUGUAAAUUUGCAUUUGGGUUUAGAGUUUGAUGCACACAGAUUUAUUACAUUAUCACAGCUUACUAAUUAUAGUAUUAAUUUUAUAGUCUCUUCAGAUACCGAUAAAGAAAAUAUGACAGAAGGACGCAGAGUUAUGAGUUUAAAGGCUGAACAAUACGACAAAGAGAUUCUAAUAGAGGAGAUUUUACAGUUCUGGAGAAAAGUACUGCAGAACCAGAUCAGAGAAAAAAAUUCUGACAAAAAAAAAGUCUCAUUAGGAUACAGGACCAUCAUUAAAAAGUAGGAUUUGGAUGGAACUUGAAUUUAUAAACAGAAGUAAAAACUUAAAAAAAAAAAAAUGUUUGCAGCCUAUCAUCACUUAAUGAGCCACACUUUUGGAACCUGUUGCAUUACUUUUUAACACAUGGUGUCACAUAAUUUUUGUCUAGGUUUGAGAAUGGGAGGAAAUGAAAACAAAAGAGUAACAUUUUCCUUGCAAAUCUUUUCUCAACUCCAACCUGGCACUUUUAAUGAGUGACAAAUAUGAGCAACAUUACAGUUAUGAUGGCUUUCGAAUGACUAAAAAUACCAGAGGUCUGGGUAUUAAAGUUGGACCUAUGCGAAUCGUUCAAAGUUUAAUCUCUUAUGACGGAGCACAUAUGGAAAUAUUUUUUGUUAGCAUAUUUAUCUUGGCAAGCUCAAUGGAUAAACUAUUCAUGCAAAACAACAGACUGAACAUAAUAAUAAAGACCAUUAAGACAUAAGAGCAUAUUAUUUUUAAUUCUCUACUUAGAAUACUAUCAACCUAAUUCAUAAUUUCAGAAAUUGGAUUACAGGCAUAUACAUUUUAAAAGUUUCUGAGUUCAGUUCUGGUGAAUGCUACGUCUUGAUGUUUGUUUUUCUUCGUUCAAACAUAUCCAUCCAUCCAGCCAUCCAUCUAUCUUCUGCUUAAUUUAGGUGUCUACCACCAAUAAGCAUAAGACCCAAUUUUAACAUCUAGAAUAAAUCUUGCAGUUCAAAUACAUUUCCUAAAGCUGUCGGAAACAUCUAUGAAACACUACACAUCACCUGGACAAAUUUUAAACCAUAACAUGCUUAUUGGAGUAAUAUCAAAAAAGGGGAUAAGCUACUAUUAGUUGGAGUAUCUUCAAGCAUUCGGCAUGCUGAGCUGAGUGAAUUGUCUUAGGCACAGACAAGACAUGAGUUCUAGUAGCAUUAUUACUGGGUCAUUUCCAAGACAUUUUAGUAGCACUGGCUGUAGUUCCAAAACAUUGGAACGUAUGUUUGGAGUCAAGAUGUCUUUGUUGUGUGAUGCUCAUACUAAUUAAUCUAUACAAAGAAUACAUAUUAGCCUGGCUGAAAUAGAUGUCCUAUAGCAUUUGUUAUGGAAUCAGAUGCACAGGAAAGUGAGGUGAGAGAACUAUUUACAUAAAGCAGCAUUUCUAUCAAUGUCAUUGUGUAAAGUCAUUACAUAAAGGGGGAAUUAGUAAUAACUAAGUUUCCAUUUGUGGCAUCACCCUUCUUAGACAGUGAAUUUGAUUUGAACUCUAUAAAAGACGGUGAAUGAAUCUCUGAAUCUUCAAAGAACUUUUUUUUUUUUACCUAAAGUCUUUUGAUAAAGAUCUUCUGUAACUAUAUUACUUCAGGUCAGAAACAGCCUAUGUGAAUAAGAUGUUUCUCCUCAUCCUGAAGUUGUAAUAUUUAGUUUUAAAUGUAAAGAAUUCACAUUCCUGUAGCUUUUCCUAUCUGCACCACCACCUGCUUAUGUGAAACAUCCAGACAAUGCAUAUCUGCAACUGCAAGACUGAUUCAUAAUUGAUACAGUAGGACGUCCGUCAUAUUUCACUUUGUCAAAUUAAACAAAUUUUUGUUUUUUUUCAGCUUCUCAAACUGUAACAGCAGGUAGCAGCUGUCCUUUAAAAAUCAGCACUUAUUUUCCCCCAUUUUAUUCUGUCAGCCUUUUCCUUUUUAAAACAAUAGAUGUGUCAUAAAUGGAGAAAUCAUUAUUCGAGGUAACAGUCGUCACACCUCUCAUUAUAUCUAUUCAGUCAAAAAUGAGGAAGAAAAUGAUGAUGCAAACCAGACAGCAUUUCCUUCCACAGUACAUUUACUCAGUUUGCCGUUUCCUGUCAGAGCGCUGCAGCUCUCCUCCUCCUUCUCCUCCUCCUCUUCAGUUCACUGAUAAUCCCUUCAACAUGUGAAUAAGUCAUCCACUGCUGCCAGCUCACAGACAGGUCACCCUGGCUUUCUGGGUUUUUAUCUAACCUGGAUUUCAAAUGUUAACAUAUGUGAUUUAAGAUGUAGACCAAGGCACCUGGCAAGUUUUGGUUUUCUUUACCACUAAAUAACAUAAAAAGGCAUGCAAAGAACACACUUAGAUAUGUCUACUAAGGAAAGCAAGCACACUUAUCCUAAGAAUAUUCAACAUAUAUUAUGGAAUAAACAAACUGAUUUUAUAUCUAUGCCCUGCGACAGACUGGCGACCUGU